rnacentral:rRNA from 1 species
AAAGGAAUUGACGGGGGCCCGCACAAGCAGUGGAGUAUGUGGUUUAAUUCGAAGAUACGCGAAAAACCUUACCAGAACUUGACAUCCUGCGAAUCCCUUGGAAGCAAGGGAGUGCCGUUUACGGAGCGCAGUGACAGGUGGUGCAUGGUUGUCGUCAGCUCGUGUCGUGAGAUGUUGGGUUAAGUCCCGCAACGAGCGCAACCCUUAUUGCUAGUUGCCAUCAUUAAGUUGGGCACUCUAGCGAGACUGCCGUUGAUAAAACGGAGGAAGGUGGGGACGAUGUCAAAUCAUCAUGCCCCUUAUGUUCUGGGCUACACACGUACUACAAUGGGAAAUACAACGGGAAGCCAAGCAGCGAUGCGGAGCAAAUCCCUAAAAACUUCCCUCAGUUCGGAUUGGAGUCUGCAACUCGGCUCCAUGAAGCUGGAAUUGCUAGUAAUCGCGAAUCAGCAUGUCGCGGUGAAUACGUUCCCGGGCCUUGUACACACCGCCCGU